rnacentral:rRNA from 1 species
GUAGCUAAUACCGCAUGUGCUCUACGGAGUAAAGCUUUUGCGCUUACAGAUGAGGGUGCGUCCUAUCAGCUAGUUGGUGAGGUAAUAGCUCACCAAGGCUAUGACGGGUAGCUGGUCUGAGAGGAUGAUCAGCCACGCUGGGACUGAGAUACGGCCCAGACUCCUACGGGAGGCAGCAAGUGGGAAUAUUGCACAAUGGACGAAAGUCUGAUGCAGCGAUGCCGCGUGGGGGAUGAAGGUUUUCGGAUCGUAAACCCCUUUUUAUCGAUCAGGAAGAUAUGACCAGUCGAUGAAUAAGCACCUGCUAACUACGUGCCAGCAGCCGCGGUAAUACGUAGGGUGCAAGCGUUAUCCGGAAUUAUUGGGCGUAAAGAGUUGCGUAGGCGGACUAUCAAGUUUUUGGUGAAAUCCUUCGGCUUAACCGGAGAACUGCCAAGAAUACUGGUAGACUUAGAGGGAAUCAGGGGGUACUGGAACUCGUGGUGUAGCAGUCAAAUGCGUUGGUAUCACGAGGAACACCAAAGGCGAAGGCAGGUACCUGGGAUUCACCUGACGCUAAGGCACGAAAGCGUGGGGAGCGAAACGGAUUAGAUACCCGUGUAGUCCACGCCGUAAACGAUGGAUACUAGAUGCUUGGGGUAUUGACCCCCUGGGCGUCGCAAGCUAACGCGUUAAGUAUCCCGCCUGGGGAGUACGGUCGCAAGACUAAAACUCAAAGGAAUUGACGGGGGACCGCACAAGCGGUGGAGCGCGUGGUUUAAUUCGAUGUUAAGCGAAGAACCUUACCGAGGUUUGACAUGCUACUGCAAAGCCUAUGAAAGUAGGCCUCCUUCGAGGGUGUAGCACAGGUGUUGCACGGCUGUUGUCAGCUCGUGUCGUGAGAUGUUGGCUUAAGUGCUAUAACGAGCGCAACCCCUGUGAUAAGUUGUAUCACUCUUAUCAGACUGCCUGCACUUAUGUGCAGGAGGAAGGCGGGGACGACUUCAAGUCAUCGUGGCCCUUAUACCUCGGGCUACACACGCGCUACAAUGGUAGAUAACAACGAGUUGCAAGUCAGCGAUGACAAGCUAAUCUCUUAAACUCUAUCUCAGUCCGGAUUGCAGGCUGAAACUCGCCUGCAUGAAGUUGGAAUCGCUAGUAAACGUGGGUCAGCACACCGCGUUGAAUACGUUCUCGGUCCUUGUACACACCGCCCGUCAAGUUGGGAAAGUUAGGGGCACCCGAAGACCCAUUAGCAAAGCCGGAAGGAAGCGUGGGUCGAAGGUGAAACUAGCGAUCAAAGCUAAGUCGUAACAAGGU